rnacentral:rRNA from 1 species
AUGUGGGUAUCUGCCCUUUGGCCUGGAAUAACAUGAGGAAACUUAUGCUAAUACCGGAUAAGUCUUUACGGAGAAAGCUUUAUGCACCAUUGGAUGAGCCUGCACUUGAUUAGUUUGUUGGUGGGGUAAUGGCCUACCAAGACUGUGAUCAAUAGCUGAUUUGAGAGGAUGAUCAGCCACAUUGGGACUGAGACACGGCCCAAACUCCUACGGGAGGCAGCAGUGGGGAAUCUUGCACAAUGGAGGAAACUCUGAUGCAGCGAUGCCGCGUGAGUGAAGAAGGCCCUUGGGUUGUAAAGCUCUUUCGUCGGGGAAG